UAUUGGUCGAGUUGUGAGGCAAAUUAACUGUUCUUCUGUUAAAGAGGUGAUUGAUUGAUUUUGCAGAUUUUUUGGAGACUCGCAAACUUCUGGAAGUUUUGAUUUAAUCUUGUCCUCAUUGAUCUUCAUCCAAUUAAAGAAUGGCAGCAGGUUACAGUCACACUGCCAUGGGUUCUUGUUUAGGUACAGUCUACUGAGGUUUGGAAGAGCGUCAAAAACAUCACCAGGAA